UUUCUCCCCUUUCUUCAGUGGCUAUGAAGGAUAUGAUAAGUUAUACUUUAAACAAAACUAAUGGUUUGACAAUCAGAUCACUUUAAAUAUACUUUUAUUUUUGUGCCAAUUAUGAUCUAAUUAUUUAAAUUAAAAAGAAAGAAUGCUUCUGUUACCACUGAACUGUCUGUCCUUCCUGUUCUCUAAAACUAAGAAUUUAACAAAUUAUUAAAACAACAAGCAGAAGUCUUAAAGUAAAGGAGACACCAACUUUAUCCUCCCCUUAAAUAAAGUCUAUGAUUGUUAGGCCAGAAUACUGCCGGAGGAGCACUGGAGGAAAAACUAAUAACCAUAAAGUAACUGAAAUGUCAUGUAAAUAACUGCCGCGAACAACUACCAGAAAUAUGCACUCUCAAAACAAUCACCUUGGAGGAAAUUAACUACUGAAACAAACAGCAACACUGCUGGAAUUUCUCUCUUAAAACUGCUUCCAAAAAUGCUUUUGGGAUCCUUAUUUUAAAAGAUCCUUAUUUAAAAUCCUUAUUAUCUUAUUUUGGGAUGCUUG
rnacentral:lncRNA from 1 species